rnacentral:rRNA from 1 species
UACGUAGGGUGCGAGCGUUGUCCGGAAUUAUUGGGCGUAAAGAGCUCGUAGGCGGUGUGUCGCGUCGGCCGUGAAAACCUGCAGCUUAACUGUGGGCUUGCGGUCGAUACGGGCAUCACUGGAGUUCGGCAGGGGAGACUGGAAUUCCUGGUGUAGCGGUGAAAUGCGCAGAUAUCAGGAGGAACACCGGUGGGCGAAGGCGGGUC